AACGAACGCUGGCGGCAGGCUUAACACAUGCAAGUCGAACGCAUCCUUCGGGGUGAGUGGCAGACGGGUGAGUAGCGCGUGGGAACGUGCCCUUCAGUUCGGGAUAACCCAGGGAAACUUGGGCUAAUACCGGAUACGUGCGAGAGCAGAAAGAUUUAUCGCUGAAGGAUCGGCCCGCGUCUGAUUAGCUAGUUGGUGGGGUAAUGGCCCACCCAGGCGACGAUCAGUAGCUGGUCUGAGAGGAUGAUCAGCCACAUUGGGACUGAGACAGGGCCCAAACUCCUACGGGAGGCAGCAGUGGGGAAUAUUGGACAAUGGGCGCAAGCCUGAUCCAGCCAUGCCGCGUGAGUGAUGAAGGCCUUAGGGUUGUAAAGCUCUUUCGUCCGGGACGAUAAUGACGGUACCGGAAGAAGAAGCCCCGGCUAACUUCGUGCCAGCAGCCGCGGUAA
rnacentral:rRNA from 1 species